rnacentral:misc_RNA from 1 species
AACGCACAUUGCGCCCAUCAGUAUUCUGGCGGGCAUGCCUGUUCGAGCGUCAUUUCAAAACUCAAGCUUUGCUUGGUGUUGGAAAUUGCAUUCUUGCAUUUCUAGAAACUAGUGGCGGGUUAACAUUAUCCUAGGUGCAGUAAUAUUGUCGCCUCUUGGACUUGUGAAGCUCUGUCUACCAUCUCCAUUUCAUUAUGGUGAAAAUCUCAAUAGUUUGACCUCGGAUCAGGUAGGAAUACCCGCUGAACUUAA